GGACCCGCACAAGCAGUGGAGCAUGUGGUUUAAUUCGACGCAACGCGAAGAACCUUACCAGCGUUUGACAUGGAAAGUACCGGUUACAGAAUGGUAACCUUCAGUUCGGCUGGCUUUCACACAGGUGCUGCAUGGCUGUCGUCAGCUCGUGUCGUGAGAUGUUGGUUAAGUCCCGCAACGAGCGCAACCCUUAUCGUUAGUUACUAACAGUUCGGCUGAGGACUCUAGCGAAACUGCCGGUGAUAAGCCGGAGGAAGGUGGGGAUGACGUCAAGUCCUCAUGGCCCUUACACGCUGGGCUACACACGUGCUACAAUGGUGAGGACAGAGGGACGCUACCAGGUGACUGGAUGCAAA
rnacentral:rRNA from 1 species